rnacentral:rRNA from 1 species
AAAGGUAGCAUAAUUAAUUGCCUUUUAAUUGAGGGCUUGUUUGAAUGGUUUGACGUGAGAGAUGUGAAUAUUUGGUAUUAUUAUGAAUUUGAUGUUGGGAAUACAGAAUUUCCAUAGUUUAAUAAGACGGAAAGACCCUGGGAUCUUCUUUUUUUGCUUGGGGCAAGUUUUAGUGUUUUACUAUAAUUAAGACCCUAGGGAUAGUUUAGUGGAUUAAGUUACCCCAGGGAUAACAGUGUGAUAAUUAAUAAGAGAUCUUAUCGAAUUAAUUGUUUGCCACCUCGAUGUUGACUUAGAUUAAAGCUUGGGUGCAGUAGUCUGAGUUUUUGGUCUGUUCGACCUUGUUUAUCUUCAUGAGUCGAGUUAAGACCGGCGUGAGC